CAACUUCCUGUUGUUUGCUCUAGUUAAUGUGACAAUGCUUCUCACUGCUGUGCAAUGCGGUUUGGCUAAAAUAGUGUUCAUGGUGCAAGAACGUUUCCUUUGUAAUAUGUGGUGAAGUGCAACAGUUUGCAUUAACAGAAGAUAGCAGCUUUGUAGUUGUUCACCUUUUCCACACAGCGGUUCUUUCUGAUCAACUGUUGUUUUGCAGCAAAGGUGGAAGGAGUCAACAGUUCUAUUGCAGUUGUUGCUGUUAAACUAAUUUACAUGUUUUAUUCUUCAGACUUUGAUACAGCUGUGGUGUACUCAGCAGUGAGAACUGAAGAUGUCACUUAUGGACAAAUAGCCAUCAAACCAAAGAAGAUCAGAGACUUUAUACCAGAGCCAGACGUCAUCUACUCUUCACUGAAGUAGUCCACCAGUCCAACCACUGACGUCCAGCUGACGGUCUCUAACUGGUCCCCCCAGCACCUCAGACCAGAGGACAUCCACACGUUGAAACAAUUUUUAUAUGAUUUAUAUUUUUUUUUAACCAAAUUAGACUCAUACUAUUUAAAAAGAUUAAAAAGAUUGCAUUUUUUAAUUGCAAUUUAAUUGGUCAUAAAAAUGUUAGUAUAUUUUAUGACACCAAUAUCUUUAAUACUAUUUUAUAUCUUUGCAUUAUUAAAAAAACCUUUUCUUGUCACUCUUUUUGUCAUGUGGGUCUGUGGGUUUUACCAAGAUGUCACAUGGAAAAUUUAACUUGUUUGGUUGUGGCUAACUGAUGCACAUCAUGC